GAUGAAGAACGCAGCGAAAUGCGAUACGUAAUGUGAAUUGCAGAAUUCAGUGAAUCAUCGAGUCUUUGAACGCACAUUGCGCCCACUGGUAUUCCGGUGGGCAUGCCUGUUCGAGCGUCAUUAUCCUCCCUCAAACCCCGGGUUUGGUGUUGGACCCAAGUUGUGUGAACAACUGGUCUCAAAGACAAUGACGGCGUCCGUGGGACCCUCGGUGCAACGAGCUUUUAGGAGCACGCAUCGAGUUGCAAGGACCUUCCGGGCCGGUCUCCUUUACCAUUUUACAAGGUUGACCUCGGAUCAGGUAGGAAUACCCGCUGAACUUAAGCAUAUCAAUAAGCGGAGGA
rnacentral:misc_RNA from 1 species